rnacentral:misc_RNA from 1 species
CCAAUAGCGUAUAUUAGUGUUGUUGCGGUUAAAAAGCUCGUAGUUGAAUUUCGGGAUUGGGAUAUAUCGGUCAUGCCUUUAGGGGCAUGAAUCGGUGUGUAGCCAAUUUCUCACCUUCUGGUGAAUUGGGAUGCUCUUGGGUGUUUCAAUGAACUAGGACUUUUACUUUGAAAAAAAUAUAGUGUUUAAAGCGGGCAUUUUUGCUUGAAUACAUUAGCAUGGAAUAAUAAAAUAGGACGAUGGUUCUAUUUUGUUGGUUUUAGGACCACGUAAUGAUUAAUAGGGAUAGUGGGGGGCAUUAGUAUUCAAUAGUCAGAGGUGAAAUUCUUGGAUUUAUUGAGGACUAACUACUGCGAAAGCAUUUGCCAAGGAUGUUUUCAUUAAUCAAGAACGAAAGUUAGGGGAUCGAAGACGAUUUAUGUACGUCGUAGUCUUAACCAUAAACUAUGCCGACUAGGAAUCAGACAAAGUUCAUUUUUUAACGACUUGUUUGGUACCUUACGGGAAACCAAAGUGUUUGGUUC